rnacentral:lncRNA from 1 species
GAGUGCAUGCGGGAAUUGGAAAUAGAUGUCCUGCCCAUGGAGGCCAGAGAGCUGUGUCCACAAAAGGACAGGGUGUGACCAGCCAGAGUUGCCGGAGUUUUGGCAACUUGUGUCUUCCAUAAUAGAGCUGGGGCAUUGAUGGAAAUGGAGGGUGCUAGAACCUUGUGACUUUGGCCAGGCACCAAUCAUCUGCCUCCUUCUGUGCCUGCCUGGCUGCCCCUACCCUGGGGCUCCCUCCUAGCCCCCACCUCACCUACUGGCUCACUGAGACAGAGCCAAACAUGAAAGGGAAGGUGACGGCCUGGCCAUAGGGCCCAGGAAAAUGCAGGUAUCAUUAACAGCCUGGAGCACUGUGGCCUGUCCACUCUCAACCCUCUGCUGCCCACCCCUUCCUGGAAUAGACCCCAGGCCACAUACAGAGGGGGCAAGCCCAAGGAAAACACAAACCCUGACCUCAGGGAGCUCCCAGUUUGACAGUGGAGACAGAGAGGCCCUGCAUCAAGUAGAAAAACAACCCCCACUGCUCUCAAGCACACAGCAAUGAAGAUAUGUAUCCUUGGUGCUACAGGCAAAUGCUGACGAUACGACAGUGAAUACAACAUGAAAAAACAAGCACACUUCUCACCCCUAUGGAGCUUUAUUCUGGUCAGGCAGAAGGAGAAGGAAAUGUAAACAUGCAAGGAGCAACUUUUUGGCACUCCCAUUUUGCAGAAGAGGAAACAGCCUGCCUAGGUCUGCUGAUUCCUGUCCUGGUGAGCUCACUGCCCCAUACUCCCACCCUUGUACACAAAUGGAGGUGCUCUUACAGAAGUUCUGAGCCUGAUUCUGCUGCUGCUUCUCCAGCUAACCUUAGGUACAACUCUCCCCCUCCCAAGGCCUCAGUUUCCUCAUCUAGGUAAUGGGAAUCCUAAUGCCUUUCUUUUCUCUGCAUAGGCUUAAACCAGAUGGCCCAUGACAAGCCCUUCCAAUUCCCGUGUCCCAGAGAUGCCAAAUUUGAGCCCCAGUCACCCACCAUGAACCUGCCACCUAUUCCAGGAACCUGGCCAGGAAGCCCAGGAUGGGCUUCUUACCUUGUCUUCCCAUUGGGGUGGGUCUCAGAGGAGGCCAAGCUGGGCAGAGCUCUCUCUCUCAUUGGCCCUCAGGUACCACCCCCAUUAGUGCUGACUUACAGCUUUGCACUGCUGCUGACAUCAGCACCCAUCUGUCUGUUGUGGUAAGAGAGGCCUCCUAGGGAAACAGGUUUGCUAAAUCUCAGCCAGGAAGGACCUCCCAGCUGGGCUGUUGGGGCAAGUUUGGUAAAUACCCUCAACAGGCACCUUUGGAAGCAGGAGCGGGUGAUCAGAAAGCAAUGCCUCCCCCAAGCAACCCUCUCACCUCCCUAGCCACCCCCAACCAUGAUCAAAUUCCUAUCCCUGGCUUUGGACUUUCCAGCUGGUUCCCUGAGCUACUCAGCCCAUCAUCCCAAUAACCAGCUUCCUACAACGUCCAUCUCCUAUACCACCAUCCCCCCAACCACUGCUGUCACCAUCCUCUGUCACCUCCAAUCAUCAAAACCCCAUCCGCCCCCACCUUCCUCCUCCUUCUUCAUUCUCAUCCCUACCAUGAGCAGCACUCAUCCAUUCCAACUCAAAAGGUCACUAUCUAAUCCACGAUCUAUCUUACUUCCUGCCUAAAUUCUUUAUGGAGCAAUAAACUUCCACUGGAAUGAUACCCAGACCACAAAUCUGGGACCCAGUGACAGUUCCAGGAGGCCAUGGUGCACCGUCUGUGGCUCAGUUGGUUUCCAAUGGGGUCUAUUCAUAUGGCAUCUGUAAACACUCACAUGAUGCAGAUGCUUCCCUUACUUAAUACCCAUCUGGCCCAGGGUGGGCUGAGGGUGGCCCAGCUGGAUGCAGCACUAUCCCUAAUCUCUCAGAGCAAGCAGCAAGCAGCAAGCAGCAUACCUGGCUUGUUUAAACACACACUUUGCCAGAUGCUGAAGAACAACUAAAAGUGAUCACAGUAGAUCUGCUACCCUGAUCAAUCUUGCCUGUCUAAAGCUCAGAUAAGUCUGUAUAGGACUCUGUUUCCAAAUCUGUCAUUUCUGAUGGUACAUAUGCUGGACUUUUCCUUGCAGGGCAAGCUAAAGUCAAUGGAGUUCACACCCCAAGCAAGAGAAGAGCUUGCCCUAGCCUUCAUCCAGCCUCAUGUGUCUGCGAUUUGGCUAGAAAUUGUUCAGGGGAAUCUUAAUUAGCAUUCACCUGUGGUGUUGUGUUAAAAAAACAAAAAAACAAAAAACACCUCACUUCAGGUUCCAAAGUCUGAGUUGGAGUAAAAAGAUUGUUGGAAUCCAGGAUCCACCAUACAACUGCUAAGCCUGUUUCUUCAUCUGUAAAAUGAGAAUGACAAUGUCUACCUCAUAGGAUAGGUUUGAGGGUAGAGUGUGUUAAAGAACUCUUAAGGACCUUUUGUCAGACCCAGCUUGACCACAAGAUUGAGCUGAAUCUGAAUAAACAUUCUAGAACACUGCCAGAAAAGCUACAUUUACUAUCUCGUCUGACCUAUGUAAUUUGCAGAGUUCUUUUUACAUGGGUUACUUCCAAAAUCAAAAUUAACGUUAUUACUGAUGCUCAGUUAAAACAGCGUAGUAACUUCUGAUUAUUUCUCU